GCUAGUGUCACAGGUUGAAGAACUCUGAGCCCACUUAUGCCUGGAUGCCUCUCACUUCCCUGGCUUCACAAAGCAGCCACACAUUUCCCUCCAGAGACAGAGUCCCAUGCUGGAGCAGCCGACUUCUCUAGCUGGCUUCUGGUUUCAGACAUUCCUAGGUAGUUGGUAUCCCAAAGGGCCGUGAGGAGCCACUAUACCAAAUCAGCAUACAGAAAACAGCUGUGUCAUUGACAAGGCAUCGCGCAUGGGUAGCAAGUGGAUGAUGUCGGUUUGACCACAAGAUGGGUAAAUCUGCUAUCGAAAGAAGCUGGAUGGAGAAAGAAAGGAAGCAAGAAUGGGGGAGAAGCAGAGGAAAGAAGCCACAGCUUGAGAAGGCGGGUGCAGCAGCUCCUCUGUGCAAAAGGAUCUGUCUGGGCCAGUGUCUCCAACAUUUGAGGGCUUCCUAGGACUCCUGACCUCGGUGACAGUCAGGAUGUGCGUGGCAGUGACCAGGGGGACAGACCUCUUUCAACCACUGAUCCUAAGCCAGACCUCGUGACUCAAACCUGUAAUCCUAACACUCAGGCUGAACCAGGAGGACGGCCACUGAGUCUGAGGAGUCGGAACUACAGGUGAGAUCACCCUGUCUCAAAACAAGGCAACAAAUGUAACAAACCACUGCUGGAUCCCGUCUGCAGUGCAAAUCCAGGCCAAGGACGAGCAUCAGCAGAGAGAGGUCACAGGAGGAACUCUAGUAAAUGCCAAGGGGGACGAGUUUGGAAAUCGUUUUUUAACUUAACACUGUUCCAGGGCUGGGACUCUGAAGUCUGAGAAGUCAUUCUUCUGCGACUAGAAUAUUCCAUUGUCACGUGGCCUUGGGGUUUUAAUCAAGAUCUCAGGACCCCUACGCGGAGGAUCAGUAAACACUUGGAGACCCAUAGCAACCCCAGCCAAUGGGGAAAAGCGAUCAAAGCCACAAUGAAACAUCGCCUAAGACGCUGGGAAAUGACUGCUUUUAAUAAAAACCACAAAACAAGUGUAGGCUGCGUUGUGGAGAGAUACGGAUCUCCGUUCCCUGUUGGUGGGUGUGUGAACGGCGAGGCUGCUGCGCAGAGCAGUACGGCGGCUCCUGUAAUUUCACUGUGGGCUACACACCCACGAGCAUCGAAAGCAGGGGCUGGAAGCAACAUUGCUACAUUCAUUGCAUAGCUGUUCACAACCGAGUGGGAUUCUGCUCAACUGUCGACAGUGAGGGCAGCUCAAGCAUCCGCACUCAGGGAUGGACGGAUAAACGAGGUUGGGGCAGGGUGCGAGGGGACAUCACUUAACCACAAAACGGAAACGUGCUGACAUAGUCCACAAUAGUGAUUAAUCCUGAGGGCAUUAACUAGAAUUUCGGCUCACAAAACGGUAAGUAUUAUGCAGCCUCCAUAGUGUCGUGGUUAUCACGUUCACCUCGCAAGACGACAGAUACUGUACGAGUCUGCCUAUGUGAGGUUUCGCUGCGGCUACCGAAUUCACAGAGAAGGAAAGAAUGGUGGAGCUAGGGCCUGGAGAGGGGCGGGGCUUAGUGGGAGCAGACUUUCAGCUGCGCAGCAUAGUCUGGCUGUGGACAAUGGACAGCGAGUGAUGGCUUCCAACGGCGUGAAGGAACUUAAUACCACAAAACCAUACACUGAAAAAUGUCUAGGAGAGUAAAUUUUAUACUAUCUGUGUUUUACUACAAUCUGAAACUCUUGUGUGCUGGAUAGAGCACUGCCUAGUUUCCAUUCCUAGCAUCACUAUAAAUAUUUUUCAUCUGGAUUUUUAGGGUUUAAUGAAGGGAUUUAAUAAAAAAAAAAAAAAACAAUGG